GGGAACCAAUUUCUGUAUGUUCGGGGGCUGGUAUCUCAACCUAUUAGAUCCAGGCUGGGAAUAAAACCCAUUUUUAAUGCACCAUUUGAUAAGAACACUUAACCUCAGUAUGUAUUGUAAUUAGAGAGAUAAUUAGAACUCCAAAAGAGCCUUUUAAGACUAGGAAUGCAUCUGAAAUUCACCUAGAAUGAAAACUGCAUCAUCUAAGACCAAUCCGAGCAGUACAUUGAUUGGCCUUGUAUCGGCUAUCGCGGAAAUGAGAGGCAGCCUCCUGUCUCACACGGAACAGUCCUCCUCUUCUUCGGAUUUGCACAAGGUGGAUCGUAAUCGUACCACACCAUAAAGCACGAACGUGAAAGGCUUUUGAGAGGCUUUGAGUGCGAUCUGCAGCGGCUGUAUGUGACUCCAUAACUCAGCGAAUGACGAGGAUAAUAAAGGCUUGCGCUCGGCAGCCUCCAAAGUGUCGGAUGUCUAUGCACAGGCUGUCAAGCCUGAUGCCGUUCGGUGCUGAAGGAACGUCCAGCACCGUCGUCUGAGGAAUCCCCGCUCCUGGGAAGCGUCCACUAGCGUCUUUCCAUUCCACUAACAGAAACACCUGCGGAGAGACCGUGUACCUGCUCUGACUGUGUCUCCAGAAAAAAGAAAGCUGAGAGAAUUCAUAGCCAGCAGAUCCUCACUCCAAGAAAUGCUAAAGGAAGUUCUUCAGACUAAAGGGAAAUGAUAACAGAUGGAAACUUAGCUGUACAGAGAGAAAUCAAUACUACCAGACAGAGUAAAUAUGUGGAAGACUUGCACAAGAAUGUUUGUCGCAACUUUAUUCAUAACAAUCCCAAGCUGGAAACAGUUCUACAGUCCACCAGCAGGAGAAUGGGUAAAGUCGUGUCAUAGUCACACAAACUGAAUUCACUAAGCAACACUACUAACACCCAGCAACAUGGAUAAAUCUUAAACCCAUUAUGUUGUCAGACACAAAUCACUGCACACCAUAUGAGUUCAUUUAAAUGACAUCUAAGAACACGCAAACAUAAUCUAUUGUGAUAGAAUAGGAUUUGCUUUUUGAAGGAUGAUUGACUGCAACAGGGCACAAACGAACUUUAUAGGGUGAGGAAAAUGUACAUUUCUGUUGGGGUGUUGUUACAGGUGUCUAUGUCUGUCAGAAGCCAUUGGAAUUGCACUCAUUUGAUGGUACAUUUCACUCUAUAAAUUUUGCCUAUGUUAAAAAUCAAACUCAAAAAAUCACAAUGAUUUAGUGAAUUCACAGCUUGGGCAGAAAUUUUAUGCUGAGUAUCAUACAAAAGGAAGAGAUGUAAAAUAUGAAAUAAAUACUGCAAACGUGGCCAGAUGUUAUCAUGUCGGGAUGCUGGGGAUAUGGGGUGUCGAAAUUUCAUCUUCUGAGAAUUUUCUGC